rnacentral:rRNA from 1 species
CACGUAGGGUGCGAGCGUUGUCCGGAAUUAUUGGGCGUAAAGAGCUCGUAGGCGGUGUGUCGCGUCGGCCGUGAAAACCUGCAGCUUAACUGUGGGCUUGCGGUCGAUACGGGCAUCACUGGAGUUCGGCAGGGGAGACUGGAAUUCCUGGUGUAGCGGUGAAAUGCGCAGAUAUCAGGAGGAACACCAGCGGCGAAGGCGGCGCUCUGGGGCCGGUACUGACACUGAGGAGCGAAAGCGUGGGUAGCAAACAGG